rnacentral:rRNA from 1 species
GUGGGGAAUAUUGGACAAUGGGGGGAACCCUGAUCCAGCCAUGCCGCGUGUGUGAAGAAGGCCUUUUGGUUGUAAAGCACUUUAAGCGAGGAGGAGGCUACCGAGAUUAAUACUCUUGGAUAGUGGACGUUACUCGCAGAAUAAGCACCGGCUAACUCUGUGCCAGCAGCCGCGGUAAUACAGAGGUUGCAAGCGUUAAUCGGAUUUCCUGGGCGUAAAGCGCGCGUAGGUGGCCAAUUAAGUCAAAUGUGAAAUCCCCGAGCUUAACUUGGGAAUUGCAUUCGAUACUGGUUGGCUAGAGUAUGGGAGAGGAUGGUAGAAUUCCAGGUGUAGCGGUGAAAUGCGUAGAGAUCUGGAGGAAUACCGAUGGCGAAGGCAGCCAUCUGGCCUAAUACUGACACUGAGGUGCGAAAGCAUGGGGAGCAAACAGGAUUAGAAACCCGAGUAGUCC